rnacentral:rRNA from 1 species
GACGAACGCUGGCGGCGUGCUUAACACAUGCAAGUCGAACGGAAAGGCCCUGCUUUUGUGGGGUGCUCGAGUGGCGAACGGGUGAGUAACACGUGAGUAACCUGCCCCUGACUUUGGGAUAACUUCAGGAAACUGGGGCUAAUACCGGAUAGGAUCUCCUGCUGCAUGGUGGGGGUUGGAAAGUUUCGGCGGUUGGGGAUGGACUCGCGGCUUAUCAGCUUGUUGGUGGGGUAGUGGCUUACCAAGGGUUUGACGGGUAGCCGGCCUGAGAGGGUGACCGGCCACAUUGGGACUGAGAUACGGACCAGACUGCUACGGGAGGCAGCAGUGGGGAAUAUUGCACAAUGGGCGGAAGCCUGAUGCAGCAACGCCGCGUGCGGGAUGACGGCCUUCGGGUUGUAAACCGAUUUCGCCUGUGACGAAGCGUGAGUGACGGUAAUGGGUAAAGAAGCACCGGCUAACUACGUG